AAAAUUUUAUCUUACCCAACUUAAUCUAAACCUGUCUCUAAGAAACAAAAAUGCAUUCCUCCACUCUUCCCAAUUAAACUUCCUUUCCUUCUCUCGAAGGAUUAAACGCGCUGAUCGGUAUCCAUCGCAGCGAUGCAAAACGGCUAUCAGGUUAUCUCGAUCGUUGCUUCUGUUUCAUAGAACGGUCCGAUGGCCAGGUAUCUCGAGCGUGCAACCUCCUCCACCCGUGAGAACAAAGGACAUCCGUAUUCGUGGAAUUCUCUGCGGUGAGACACGAACGAAGAUACUUACGCAGCCGUGUAUACACGGUCAAUGGCAACGCCUUUUCCUUUCUUCUCGACCCGCCACCGUUUCAUCCGUCUUCCGGUUUGGAAAAUUGCUCGACCAAGGACCAGUUUUUGGACCACGAUACUUUUACCCGAUUUCUUGCACGCAUUGCGUAACAUCGUAGCAGCGGGCAACAAAGGGGGCUCGUCGCUCCCCGAGCGAUCCUCUCCGUACAAUGUAAUACUAUAAGCGUGGCCGAGUAAAGGACACUGUGACUGGCCGACAAGCGUUUCGUCACAGUCCCCACAGCGUGCGAUAAAUCGUUCCCGUUACGACAAGGACACACAAUGGGCAACGUGUUACACACGGUCCGCGUGCCACCAGCGAAGAUAAAUUAAAGAUCGAGGCAAAAAGAGAGGAGGCAACGCAACCGAGCCAAGGUGGUUGGCUUCCGAUCGAAAGGGAGCUCACUUCACCGUGAGACGAUCCACCAGCAGACGACGACGUUCGACUUUUUUAGUACGUUUAUCCAGUUAGGGCGACCUUUCUUUUCCUCCUUUUUCUUUCGAUCGUUUAAUUAAUAAAAACAGGCCGAGUCGUCGUGGACUCGGGAGGGGAAAAGAGAUCGGUUUCCUUUUUGCUCCAAAUCGAAAGUUACCCAGGCCUGACCGGAUUCCCCCCUAACGAAUCGACGCGAUUUACGGUGCAUUCGGUGAAUUUUGACGGGAUGCGUAAAUCUUGAGGAUCUUGAAUCGAGAUUCGUUAUGGUAAGGAGAUUGAUGCUCGAGGAUCGGUUUCGAAACAUCGAUCGAUCGCGAUAUCGUGGGUGGUUAAUUGUAUCGUGGAUCUUUGAUUGUCUUUUGUUCUUUCUUUUUUGAAAAAUGUGUCGUGCGAUGGCGUGAUCGAGAGAUUUCACUUUCGUUUUGGUGGAAAAAUUGGAAUUGUGUAAUUUCGGUGACAAAUUAUAUUUUCUUUUUCGUCGAUCAGCGUGAUUCGCUUGGACGUCGUAUUUUUUCUUUUUUUAUAUUACUAAUUAGUUUAUUAUUUCUGAUUUUUCUUCCUCUUAUCUUCUUUUCUUUCUUUUUUUUUUUUUUUUUUUAACGAGAAAAAUAAUUUCGCAAAUGUGAAAUUUUAAACGUGUGUCGUAAUUGUGAAUCGAGUACCGUGACAAUAUAUAUACCAACGAAAUAUUUAAUAUUUUAUAUCUUGUGCUUUUGGCUUUUCAAUGGAUUGAA